rnacentral:rRNA from 1 species
AGAGUUUGAUCCUGGCUCAGAUUGAACGCUGGCGGCAUGCUUUACACGUGCAAGUCGAACGGCAGCGGGGGCUUCGGCCUGCCGGCGAGUGGCGAACGGGUGAGUAAUGCAUCGGAACGUGCCCAGUCAUGGGGGAUAACUACGCGAAAGCGUAGCUAAUACCGCAUACGCCCUGAGGGGGAAAGCGGGGGAUCGCAAGACCUCGCGUGAUUGGAGCGGCCGAUGUCGGAUUAGCUAGUUGGUGGGGUAAAGGCCUACCAAGGCGACGAUCCGUAGCGGGUCUGAGAGGAUGAUCCGCCACACUGGGACUGAGACACGGCCCAGACUCCUACGGGAGGCAGCAGUGGGGAAUUUUGGACAAUGGGGGCAACCCUGAUCCAGCCAUGCCGCGUGAGUGAAGAAGGCCUUCGGGUUGUAAAGCUCUUUCAGACGGAA